rnacentral:rRNA from 1 species
UACGAAGGUCCCAAGCGUUGUUCGGCAUCACUGGGCGUAAAGGGAGCGUAGGCGGCGUGGUAAGUCAGAUGUGAAAUCCCGGGGCUCAACCCCGGAACUGCAUCCGAUACUGCCAUGCUUGAGGGUUGGAGAGGUAGCUGGAAUUCUCGGUGUAGCAGUGAAAUGCGUGGAUAUCGAGAGGAACACUCGUGGCGAAGGCGAGCUACUGGACAACAUCUGACGCUGAGGCUCGAAGGCUAGGGUAGCGAAAGGG